UUUAAGGUAGUUUAAUUGGCUAGAACACUUGCGCGUAAAGCAGGCGAUCCGGAUUCGAUUCCCGGCCGAAAUA
rnacentral:tRNA from 1 species